GGCCUGGUGUGAGAGUGGUUAUCAAGCGGUCUGCAAAACCGCGUACACCGGUUCAAAUCCGGUCCAGGCCU
rnacentral:tRNA from 1 species